rnacentral:rRNA from 1 species
GGUGAACGUUGGCGGUGCGCCUAAUACAUGCAAGUCGAGCGAGAAAGUCCAAACCCGCAAGGGGGAGGGCGAGUACAGCGGCGAGCUGGUGAGUAACACGUGAUCAACCUACCUCUCCGACAGGGACAACCUUUGGAAACAAAGGCUAAUACCUGAUGGCGUUGCUUGCCCACAAGGGCGAGCAAAUAAAGGGGCGUUUGCUCCGCGGGGAGAUGGGGUUGCGGCCCAUCAGCUAGUUGGUAGGGUAACGGCCUACCAAGGCGAUGACGGGUAGGGGGCCUGAGAGGGCGAACCCCCACAUGGGGACUGAGAUACGGCCCUGACUCCUACGGGAGGCAGCAGUAGGGAAUCUUCCACAAUGGGCGAAAGCCUGAUGGAGCAACGCCGCGUGAGUGAGGAAGGCUUUCGGGUCGUAAGGCUCUGUUGCCAGGGAAGAACGCCUAAGAGAGUAACUGCUCUUAGGGUGACGGUACCUGAGAAGAAAGCCCCGGCUAACUACGUGCCAGCAGCCACCGUAAGAC